rnacentral:rRNA from 1 species
UUAGCCGGUGCCCCGCGUGGAUCCGUCUAUUGGUGUGAUAAUUAUCUACGCCGUGGACGUCUGCUUUAAAUGGGAUGUACUGCUUCUAACCGUCCGUUCAGUUGGACAAUCAAUGACAAUUUGACCUCAAAUCAGGUAGGACUACCCGCUGAACUUAAGCAUAUCAAUAAGCGGAGGAAAAGAAACUAACAAGGAUUCCCCUAGUAACUGCGAGUGAAGCGGGAAAAGCUCAAAUUUAAAAGCUGGUGGUCUCAGGCCGCCCGCGUUGUAAUCUAGAGAAGUGUUAUCCGCGCUGGACCGUGUACAAGUCUCCUGGAAUGGAGCGUCAUAGAGGGUGAGAAUCCCGUCUUUGACACGGACUGCCAGGGCUUUGUGAUGCGCUCUCAAAGAGUCGAGUUGUUUGGGAAUGCAGCUCAAAAUGGGUGGUAAAUUCCAUCUAAAGCUAAAUAUUGGCGAGAGACC